UACGAAGGUGGCAAGCGUUGUUCGGAUUUACUGGGCGUACAGGGAGCGUAGGCGGCCAACUAAGUCGGAUGUGAAAUCCCCAGGCUCAACCUGGGAACUGCAUCCGAUACUGGAUGGCUUGAAUCCGGGAGAGGGAUGCAGAAUUCCAGGUGUAGCGGUGAAAUGCGUAGAUAUCUGGAGGAAUACCGGUGGCGAAGGCGGCAUCCUGGACCGGCAUUGACGCUGAGGAGCGAAAGCUAGGGGAGCAAACGGG
rnacentral:rRNA from 1 species